GGAUGAUCUGAUUUUCCUCUUCUGCCUAGAUGUACGUGACCUCGCUCUACCAGAGAAGAGAUUGGGGCACCUGCUGGCCCGGAACCUACUGGGAUGAAAACUGCACUAAAACAUCCAAGAGUCUGACAAUCAGUACCGACCCAUCUGAAGAUUCCCUGCCUUCUCUGCACUUUCUACCUGCUUGUCCUCUUAGACAUGGGAGAUGCUUCAGAAACCGAUCCCGGGUUUCCAGGCAAGACUGAGUUUUAACACCAACAAUGCAGCAGAGUUUCACAGAGUAAUCACUGUAUUCCAGACCCUCUUGCAAAGGCUUUACGCACAUGAACUCAUUUAACCUUUGGAUCCAUGCUUCAAGGUAGGCACCAUCAUGUGUACCUAUUCUACAGAUGAAGAA
rnacentral:lncRNA from 1 species